ACAAAAUUUGCAUAUGGAACUCCCUUCAAACCAAAGCUAUUAUGGGAACUAUACACCUAUUUGGCCAGCGGAGGAAAAGAUGGUUGGCAUGAAGAGGCCAUAUCCAUUUGCCCUAGACAACCCUCCAGGGCCUUCUUUCCCCAGCAAGUUCCCUCCUAUUGUUCACCCCAUUGGCAGAUCAGAUGAAUCAUUUUCAUUUGGCAAUGCAGGCACAUUCAAUUUCACUCUUGCCAACCCUAAUUUCAGAGAAGGC
rnacentral:misc_RNA from 1 species